rnacentral:rRNA from 1 species
CUACAAGGGUAUCUAAUCCUGUUUGAUCCCCACGCUUUCGUGCUUCAGUGUCAGACGGAGCCUGGUACGCUGCCUUCGCAAUCGGCGUUCUGUGUGAUAUCUAUGCAUUUCACCGCUACACCACACAUUCCGCAUACCUCGUCUCCUCUCUAGCAUAUCAGUUUCAACGGCAAGACUACAGUUGAGCUGCAGCUUUUCACCACUGACUUAAUACGCCACCUACGCACCCUUUAAACCCAAUAAUUCCGGAUAACGCUCGUAUCCUCCGUAUUACCGCGGCUGCUGGCAC